rnacentral:rRNA from 1 species
GAAUAACGACGGGAAACUGUCGCUAAUACCGCAUACGCCCUUCGGGGGAAAGAUUUAUCGCUGAUAGAUGAGCCCGCGUACGAUUAGCUAGUUGGUGAGGUAAUGGCUCACCAAGGCUACGAUCGUUAGCUGGUCUGAGAGGAUGAUCAGCCACACUGGGACUGAGACACGGCCCAGACUCCUACGGGAGGCAGCAGUGGGGAAUAUUGGACAAUGGGCGAAAGCCUGAUCCAGCAAUGCCGCGUGAGUGAUGAAGGCCUUAGGGUUGUAAAGCUCUUUCGGGUGGGACGAUGAUGACGGUACCACCAGAAGAAGCCCCGGCUAACUUCGUGCCAGCAGCCGCGGUAAUACGAAGGGGGCUAGCGUUGUUCGGAAUUACUGGGCGUAAAGCGCACGCAGGCGGCUCGAUAAAUUAGAAGUGAAAGCCCCGGGCUUAACCUGGGAAUUGCUUUUAAGACUGUCGAGCUAGAAUCCAGAAGAGGGUAGUGGAAUUCCGAGUGUAGAGGUGAAAUUCGUAGAUAUUCGGAAGAACACCAGUGGCGAAGGCGACUACCUGGUCUGGCAUGACGCUCA